CUAAGAAUCUUCCGCAAUGGGGGAAACCCUGACGGAGCGACGCCGCGUGGAUGAUGAAGGCCGUAAGGUUGUAAAAUCCUUUUGUUGGUGAAGAAUAAGCGGGGGAGUGGAAAGCCCUCGUGAUGACGUUAGCCGACGAAUAAGCCCCGGCUAAUUACGUGCCAGCAGCCGCGGUAAUACGUAUGGGGCAAGCGUUGUUCGGAGUUAUUGGGCGUAAAGGGCGUGUAGGCGGCUCAUCAAGUCUGGUGUGAAAUCGACAGGCUUAACCUGUCAUAUGCGCUGGAAACUGGUGGGCUUGAGUUCUUGAGGGGAAGCUGGAAUUCCAGGUGUAGGGGUGAAAUCUGUAGAUAUCUGGAAGAACACCGGUGGCGAAGGCGAGCUUCUAUCAGAGGACUGACGCUGAGGCGCGAAAGCGUGGGGAGCAAACAGG
rnacentral:rRNA from 1 species